AAAUUGAAGAGUUUGAUCAUGGCUCAGAUUGAACGCUGGCGGCAGGCCUAACACAUGCAAGUCGAACGGUAACAGGAAGAAGCUUGCUUCUUUGCUGACGAGUGGCGGACGGGUGAGUAAUGUCUGGGAAACUGCCUGAUGGAGGGGGAUAACUACUGGAAACGGUAGCUAAUACCGCAUAACGUCGCAAGACCAAAGAGGGGG
rnacentral:rRNA from 1 species